rnacentral:misc_RNA from 1 species
GUGGCCACGUAAUAUACGCGGAGAGAGACAAGGGUGUCCCAAACUCGUUGGACACGAUCUCUGCAUCUCGCUCUCUCUUGCUUGGUAAACCUAAGGUUGCUCUCUCCCUCUCUGAUUUUGAUCUUACAUAGGUCGCUCUCUCUCUGUUUCUGUAGUUUUUGUUUGCGCACAGAGGGAAUUUGAUUCGUGGGUUGAAUUGAUUUGGAGGAGAAAGGAUGGCCGCACCACCAGCAAGGGCUCGUACUGAUUACGAUUGCUUGAUUAAGCUUCUCUUGAUUGGGGAUAGCGGUGUCGGGAAGAGUUGUCUGCUACUGCGCUUCUCUGAUGGUUCCUUCACAACCAGUUUCAUUACCACUAUUGGGUUUAUAUCUUUGAAAACUCUGCUAUCUUUGUUUUGCAAAACUAUUUUGGCAUUAUUUUCCAACUUUAGUGUUGAGUAGUAGGUUAAUUAUAUUUAGCAGGACAUGAAUUUUGAGAUGUAGGCUAAUAUAUUAAGUAUGACUUUGAUGUUGAGAGAAGUAGGUUAAUGAUUAUUAGCAGUAGGUUCUGCUCAUGCAAAUUAAGUUAGAAAUCAGUGGAUAGUUAAUCUUUCAGCUAUGCUUGUAAUUGUUCUGUGGAGAGUCUAGAAUAUGGCUGUUCACAUAUGUUCAAUAUAUUAGUCUAUUGCUGAAAGAUAAAAGCUUCAUUUCAUUUUUUUAUCCACUUCUUUACUUCUUUGAACAGCAUUGACUUUAAAAUAAGAACAAUCGAGCUUCAUGGAAAACGGAUUAAAUUGCAAAUCUGGGAUACAGCAGGUCAGGAGCGUUUUCGAACUAUCACAACAGGUUUGUCUUUGGGCUGCUACCUGUUGACCUUUUGUUUUCAAAAUUUUUGGGUGGUUUUGUAGAUGCUGCUUUCCUUAUUUGCAUUUGAAAGUUUUCAUAUAAUGCAUCAGCAUUGUAUAUCCUUCAACCCUGGAGACUGCAGUGUGACUUCACCUGGCUGUUGAGCGUACUGAAUGUGAAUAAGAAGGAAAACAAUAUUUUUGAAACCUUAAAGGCAAACAAUCUCCAAGGGGAAAAAGAGUGUGCAAAUAAAAGCUUUUGAUUGAAAAUUGGGGAAGCUCAUAUAUAUAGGAUAAAUCGAUCAAGUUGAUAAGAUUGUUGGUUGCUUGUAUUUGGAUGAACUGCCGUAUAUUAUGAGGAGGGAUAAGUUAAGUUAAAUGCUUAUUUUUGCUCAUUUAAAUGCUUUCAUUCCAUUUUUAUUGUGAAUUGUGUUUUUCAUUAUUUUUGGAUAGUGCUGGAAUUUGCUUACGUAUUUUAUAUUUUUCUGCAGCAUAUUAUCGUGGAGCCAUGGGGAUUUUGCUGGUGUAUGAUGUUACUGAUGAAUCGUCUUUCAACAGUAAAUUCACCUUAUAUGUUCCUCUCAGUUUUUAAUUUGAAAAGAUUUGUUGAAUAUGCUAAUCAUAAUGUUCGUGUUUUGUCACCAUAUCUAGUGCUUGCAUUUUUCCUUUCUUUGUUCUUGGUAAUCAAUAAAAUAUGUUUUUCAUUUGAUUCUUACUCAGUAGUUUGCUGGGAUGGAUGACCCAAAAUCUUUGAUAGAGCGGAGCUUCUCCAUAUCCUGAAACUUUUUCUUCUAUGUUUAAACUUUCAUCCCUUGAAUGCUUAUGGAUAUUGCUUCUCUUCAUGAUCAGAUAUUAGGAACUGGAUUCGCAAUAUUGAGCAACAUGCCUCUGACAAUGUCAACAAAAUACUGGUGGGAAACAAGGCAGACAUGGAUGAAAGUAAAAGGGUAGGUAACCUAGUGGAUAUACUUGUUUCCUCACCUGGUAGAUUGGACCAUGAAUUUAUCAAUUCCUCUCUCUCCAUAUGUGUGCGUGUGUGUGCGCGUUAUGUUGUGCCAUCCACUGAUCAGGAAGGUAGUCUCUGUUGUUUCCUUAGGCUGUGCCUACAUCCAAGGGUCAAGCACUUGCUGAUGAGUAUGGUAUCAAAUUCUUCGAAACUAGUGCAAAAACAAACUUGAAUGUGGAGGAGGUUUUCUUUUCCAUUGCAAGGGAUAUCAAGAAAAGGCUUGCAGAAACUGAUUCCAAGGCUGAGGUAAUUUUUUGUUUUUAUUUUGUUGCAUUAUAUUUCCUUUUUUUUCCCCUCUUUCUGAUAAGUUAGAUUUAUACCAUUUUACAGAGGAAUCCUUUGUUAUUUCUUUCUUUUUUUCUUACCUGCCUAUAGUUCUUUUCAAAUGAUGGUAUAUUUCUGCAUUUUUUCCUUGGUGCUACCAGCCUCAAACAAUCAAGAUCAACCAACCAAACCAGGCAGCCAGUGAUGGCCAAGCAGCCCAAAAGUCAGCUUGCUGCGGUUCAUAAAGGGGAAGUUAAAAUACAGACCGAAGGGGGAAGGUUAUUCCAGUGGCGCCCGUUGGGGUAUAAAAUUGAUUCUGAUGACAUUGUGCUGGGCCCAGUUAUUUGUGCCCUUGUUAUUUUUCCCAAUUACCAACCUUAGUGUGUUUGAGGCAGUAUUUUAUUUGAUUAAUAUUUGGAAUUUAUUAUGACACCCUUUUACAUUUCCUUUGGGGCUCGAACUCAUUUGACUAGUGUUCAUGUAGAUAGAUAAUCAAAAUUUAGCUCAUUUCUUCUGAUAUAUGAUAUCUAGAGUUGUUUGUGCCA